CCAGCCCCCCCAGCCGUGUGCAUCCCCCCGCAGCCUGACCCCCAGCCCGGGCUGACCCCCGGGAGAUGGAGGGGGGGGUGACAAGGAGGAGGAGGAGGAGGGAAGGGAGGGGGGGCGCAGGCACUUGUGCCGGCGCAGCCUCUCGCAUCAAGGUGUGCUGCAAUCCGGGCGGGCACGGUGGCUGCUCCUUAACCCCCGUUUGGCCGCGGCGCUGCCCGAGCGCGCUCCCCGCCCGCCCCGCGCAGCCCCCGCGGCACCGCGCUGCCUCCCCGCACCCCGCGGCACCGCGCCGCGAUGCGCUGCAGCCGCGGCCACCGAGGGAUGGACUUGUGGCGGUGCUGGGCGGCGGGGGCGAGUGAGGACUAAUCCCAUCCCUGGGCCUGCUCUCUGUUCCCUUCCUGCAUUAGAGAUUGGCUAUAAGGAGAAGGCUGACGGCUGCAGCAUGAAGCGCAUUAUUACCUUGUGAUUCCAUGACCCUCCUCUAUGCAUCCCUAACUCUCGAAAGCUGAUUCAGCUUUCAGCUAGUGCUCUGGUGAGUCCUCUGCUGCAACAGAAGCUCCUAACUGGCAUGUGCUAUCUUUUGGGGGUUGCUUGUCUGCGGGGUAGUGUCUCGCUCCCAGUGACCAGGAGAGGAAAAAUCAUUGGAUUCACUAGCCAGUUUCAGGAGGUGCAGCUCCCAGAGACCUGCUCAGAGCCUUGUGCUUCGGGAAAAGAGCUUUGGAGGGACCAUCUUGAUCCCACACGGAGCCAGCUCCCUCCAGGAGACUACCUCUUCAAAGGAUGGCAAGCAUGACUUCAGAUACAGACAGAGCAACCCAGACGGAUGGCGGAGAGAGGGAGGCAAGGGAUGUGGGAAGAGAGAGGUUUUCCCAGAGAGCACAAUGAAUCCUUGAUGAAGCCUCUGGGAUUAAAGAGGUGGCUUAGUUCUGUCACAGCAUCCACCCUUCAACCCGUUUAAGCACCAGGCCUUUUCCAACAAAUGAAGGGCAAAGAAGCACUGAUAAGCAAUAAAGAGAUAAGCAGCAAAGUACUCGUUUCACUGGUGUUUCCCAAUGAAAAAUGAACCCUUGAGCACACCCAGUGAUUUGUUGUCUAAGUAGCAAAGCUCACCCAAGUUCCUGAUUUUGCUUCCAGCAGAGAUGCUCAUUGCUCAUUCUCACACCCUGGAGCAGCUCGGACUCAUUAUCCAGCACUGGCGCUUCCCUCCUGCACCUGUGAGCUCAUACACGGACAUAUCCAUUUUCUAUAUGCAUGUAUCCAUCCUUGCCUUAUGGCCCAUGCUGUGAUAUCCCUGCCAAAGCAUCCUGGAGCAGAUAUUCCUGGCUGCGGGCGCCUGCAUCUGCAGGGAAUUGUUCCUUUCAAGCUGCAGUGCAGAGACAAUGCUGUACAUGGUGCUUUGGGAAAAUAGCACGAUAAGAAUUUAGUUAGGGGAGUUAAAGGUCUUCCAGGGCUGCUUUUCAAAAAGGAUAACUUCUUAUCUCGAUGGGUGUUUCGGAACAGGAGGCAUGAAGGAUCUAAUCCAGUGAAGUGUAAUGUCAGAGAGGACAAAUUAAGUUUGCAUUUGGAUACGAACUCUCUUUUAGAGGCAAAUUUGGCUGUUGAAAGGAAAAUUAUUGUACACAUCUACACAGCAAAGGAAAUGGGUGGUGCUGGGGGGCCACUCCUCAUGUCAGCAAGCUUUGACGUGGGUACAGGAGAGGAGCAGACCCUCCCAGUGCCCUCUGUUUCCCCUCUAGGAGUCAUUUGGAUGCUUCAGCUUGAAGAUCCCACAGCUCUUAUAACCCCAGCUCCCCUUCUUUGGCAGCCAGCUCAAGGUGCAGAAAACCCCAGUUCCUGGUAUCUCCUAAACACAGCAGCACAACAUGGUAUUACUGCCUGGGGUAGUUUUUGGUUUAGAUGAAUUAUUUCAAUAAGAAGGUCUUCAGACAGUGUUAAAUGACAGAUAAUAUAAUUUUUGAAUGUGAGGUUCAUCUGAAUUUUAUUUUCUGAUGUUUUGACUCAUUGACUUGAUGUCUCUCUAUUAUGCACACACCUCUGGAGAUGUUGCUGGCAAUGAUUAUGCAUAGCAUUGAGUUAGUGAAUAAAACCACUCCAGGAACUGCUUUACAGAUCACAGUAUUGUUUUCCCUAUAAUUGUCCCACAAAUGGUGGAAGUUAUAUGGAGAGAGCAACAUGCUCUGACAGAGUGCAUAUUUUUGCAGUGUGCAUCAAAUCUCACUUUGGCCUCUGAGACUUAUUUCUGAUGGUUCUUGGGGAUUUAACUUUAAGACCAAUGUAUUUUAGUAUCCAUAUACGCUCCACUGUUCAUGUCAUCCGGCAGCAACUGAGGAUGAGCUGUCUCCUUAAUAUGGAUGAGACACCAAUUUAUCUAAGUUAUCACCUCCCAAUCUCUCAUACAUCUCUGCUGUUAACUGCUGUGUUUCUGACAUCCAUACCUAAACUCUCUACAACUUCUUCUCCUUCAAUUGAAACCAUAAGUAAUUUUUUGGCUGGAAGUUCUUGAUAUAUAUCUAAUGGCUUCUUCAUCUCUCGGCUUCAGUUCAACCACGAGGUGAUGGAAUCAGGCUCUGGACACUGCAUUUUACACCCACAACUCUGCAUAGAUCCACGCAGCACACUAAGUCAGGGUGUCUUUCCAGCAUCUGAAAAUAUAUGACUGAAUUAACAUGUGCCAGGCUCAUGCUGAACAGCACUGCAGCCCCGUUGUGCACAGCCCCAGCAUUUGACUGCAGAGUCAGCAAUACUCUCCCCCUUCCUGAUGCAUUCCCAAGCCAGCAAAACUUAGCCCUACUCCUGGUAUUCUCUUUAUAGAAGGUCCCAGUGGUAUUAUGUAUCAAAUAAAGGUCUCAUUACUUAGAUUCUGGUUCCUCCAUGCAUUGCUCUCGUUAAUCAUUCUGGUUUUCAAGCCUGUGCUACAAACCAUUAGAACUGCCUCGCCUCCCACCUCUAAAUUAGAGAUUCCCUCCUCUGUCCCUCUGUGCCACAGGGGCCACCAACGCCCUGGGGACCACUGCUGCUGCUGCUGGGCCAGUGCAGGAUGCCUGGGGGUCUCUUGGCCAUGAGCUGUGGGCUUGAGUCUUACUGCAAAGGGAUGGUGUCCCCUUUCUGCCCAGCCUCAUUCUGGGGCCCCUGGGGGAGUUUCCACUGCUAAAUACCCCACAUAUCCAGCUUUGUGCUGUGCAGCAUCUCUAGAUGCAGCCCCCUCCCAGGUGAAAAGGAAAACUCUUUGGUUGUGCCCCCAAUCUCUCAACUGAAUCCCUGACCUCCCUCCAAAAUUGUUGGUAACAACUGAGGGCAGGGAAUCACCUCCUUCUCCCCCAUUCCAGUUCCCUCUGGGGUUUAUUUCCAGGGAGUUCCAAGGUCUGGCAGAGAUCACACUGCAUUUCCCACAGACAGAAAUGCAGCAGCCCCCACCCCUGUUCCCACUUCCCACACCCCUGGCCUCGACACUGCUCUUUCCAGUGUGGGAUCCAGGGGAUUUGCUACUUUCUCCAGGUAAUAUCUUUUUUAGGACCACAAACG